CUGCGCGUGGAGCGGAUAUGGGCCGAGUCAGAUUCUCCAUUCUUUUCUCUCUCUUUUUUCUUUCUUUUUAUGCAAGUGUUCUUUCCCUUCCCGGCCCAGUUCAUCAAGUUUCGAUCGAAGCCUGUUGGGCAUUCGAGCAGGUGGGUGAAUCUGGUGGUAGAAAUCAUAAUAAUUAUUCACAUUCUUAUGAGGAAGUAAAACCUGCUGCAAUCAAUAAUCAGAUCUACGAUGAACCACCGCAGAUAGACUACCAAAGGGAAAGUCAACGGCAGGGAAGGGGCUGGUUGACCUGAGCACUGGACGACGAUGCCGGUGGGAAUGUGGCGGAUCGCGACAGCAGGCCCCAUUUCAUGACCAGAGGACCCUCCGGCGUGACGAGAAA
rnacentral:lncRNA from 1 species